AGACACACACAUAGACACAGAUAUAUAGACACACACAGAUACACACACGUGGACACAAACACACACAGACAUACCCAUAGUUACGGAUAUAUGCAUGGAUACACAAUACACAGACACACAGAUGAUACAUGCAUAGACAGAUAUAUGGACACACACACACGGACACACAGAUACACACAUAGACACAUAGACAGACACAGAUACAGACACAGGCACAUGUAGACACACAUGGACAUACAAUACUCAGAUGAACACAGAGAUAAUAUACACAUAGACACAGAUCUAUAGAUACACAAAGACAUACACACAGAUAUACAUAGAUGCACACAUAGACACAGAUACACAUGUCAUCACACAUGGACACACACAGACACACACCAAUACACACAUAGACAUACGAAGACACAGGUACACAGACACGUAUACACACAGACACGCAUAUAUACAUACAGACGCAGAUAUACACACAGACACAGACAUACACACACACACAGACACAGAUAUACACAGAUACAUGGACAGAUACACAUUCACAUACACACAUAGAUACACAGAAACACACAGACACACAGACACAUAGAGACACACACACAGCCACACAGGCCCUGAGCCUCCCUGGGCCCUCCCUUGUGCAGAGGCGGAGGGGCUGGCUGUCGGGGAGGGCACCUGGAGAGGACACACAGCCCCAUCAGAGACCAGGGAGUGGCUCUGGGAGCUCUUUUCGUCCAAAGGGGCUGGAGCUCCAGUUAGCCAAGGUGAGCGCCAGGUGGUGACAGGAAUGACAUAGGAAAAUAAGACGGCCCGGGCAGGGAGGGCUGCCUGCUCUGGGUGUGAGGGGAUUGCUGUCUUAGACCACGUGGCCCAGGAAGGCCUCCAGGCAUGGCUUUGCACAGAAGCUGGUACCUGAGGGCUCAGCCCCGUGGAGGCCUGCGGGGUGGAAAUGCCAAGGCUGGGGCAGGGGCAUGUCUGACCCUCUGCGGGGAGAGAAGGCCUGUGAGGUGGGCAUUGUGUGAGGGGCCAAGUGGCCUCUGUAAGGUCUGCAGGUGGGGCCAGGCUGUGGGCUGCGUCCUGAGUGAGGGGGCCGUGGGAAGGCUGGGGACAGAGGGACGACGCUGGGUCUUGGGUCGGGAGAGGCUCACCUAGGGGCCGGGUGGAUGGGUCUAAGGAGGGCUAAGGGCGGGGCAGGGAGAGCAGCUGUGUGGUGAGGACGAAGGGAGGUCGGCCAGAGCCCCCGGGGAAGGGCUGUUGUCAUGUGGAUGAGCUGGGAAUUAGGAAAGCUUGUGGAUUGCGAGGCCUCAGUAUGCAAAGCCCUGGGACAGACGGGCCCCCCAGGAAUGAGGGGGGCAGACGGGCUCCCCAGGAAUGAGGGGGGCAGACGGGCUCCCCAGGAAUGAGGGGGACAGAUGGGAUCCCCAGGAAUGAGGGGGGACAGAUGGGUCCCCCAGGAAUGGGGGGGGCAGACAGGCUCCCCAGGAAUGAGGGGGGCAGACGGGCUCCCCAGGAAUGAGGGGGGCAGACGGGCUUCCCAGGAAUGAGGGGGACAGAUGGGCUCCCCAGGAUAAGGGGGGACAGAAGACCCCAGGCCUGAGGACCAGGCCUGCCCCCUGGCACCACCAGACACCAGGAGGGCACUGCUGCUCUUAAUUGAAAGUCUUGGUGCAGGUGAGGGCGUGGAGGAUUCCUGGGGGAAGCUUCGUGCUGCAAGGUGGAAAAGACAGAUAACAAGAGAAAAACAGAAGCUUAAUAGCAUGUAUACCUUGGUCUGCAAGGGACGGACUCGGGACAGGCUAUGUCGCAAAGGCGUGGCUUGGAGCUCAGCCUUAAAGACCAUGUUCGACGGAAACAAAGAGAAAGAGUGUGUGGGGAGGGGCCCAAGAAAUUACCCCAAACUGGGGUCAGGCCUUCUCCAUGGAUGAGCGUCUCCGGUGACUUACAGGCGGCCUUCUGGCCCAGAGAGGGGGCACCCUGGUGAGCGCAGAUGCCUGUACGGAUGUGACUUUCUCUCAUAGAACAGCAGCUUCCACUCUUGUUUUCAGAAUUUCUCCUGUGGUUGCAGUUUCUCAAAAUAAGCAGCUCAAAAUAAUGCUUAUGCCAAAGAGGCAUAUUUUGGGGUGGCAUAUUCUGGUCUGCUCUACGUGGAAGCGGACAGAAAAAUGGGGCAGAGGCCAGGGAGGGGAGCGGGACCGACUUCCAGUUCCCAGACCCGAGCAAGGGAACCUGAGGCCGAGCUCUGGAGCUUGGGGUCUGGAAGGGGUUCUCUGAGGACACUCUGGGAGUGGGGGAACAGCUGCCUCCUCAGGUUUCCCCCAAGGGAUCCUGCCUGGGGAGACCUGGACUGGGCAAGGCUUGGCAGCUGCCCUGCCAGGAGGAGGGAGACGGCUGCAGUGGGGGGGUGCAGGGUCGCUGGGGUCCCACCCGGGGGUGCUGGGACCGGCCAGAGGACACUGCGAUUUCCCAAUGGGCCAGGAAGGAAGGAGGCGCUUUCCAGGCAGAGCAUGACCCCGCACAGGAGGCAGAGACAGAGUCUCUGAGUGUCCCCGUCAGGUCCCUGGGACUGUGGCAGGGGAAGAAGCCGCAGUACCUCCUGCCCUUUAGGACAGGAGAGGUUGUCGUCCCAGCGUUGCCCAGCAGCUGGUUGGAGCCCAGGGCUCCUCAGAUGAGCCAGCGCCUGAGCCCUGAGCUGCCAGCUGGCCUGGCUGGAGCCGCCACUGAUCUUCCCAGGAGAAAGAGGCCGCCGUGCGUAAGUAGCGAGGUAUAAGAGGACGUGUAGAGCCGUGUCGCUCGCGCAAGAAGGGGAAAGAAGGAAGCCUGUCUGCAUGGCUGCGCAGGGGAUAUUGGAACAGAACUGAAGGAACUCAUGCAACGCUUCUCUGUGAAGGGGGCACCGCGAUGUAUGGACAAGGGUGGGAAAGGGAUGCUGGGCCAUAAAGUUUGGGGUGCGUGAUGGUGUGGAGGAGAAAGCCCUCCUGGGAGCUGUGGCCAGGGAGUGUGCAGUCCACGAGCAGAUGGAGCUUUAUGUGCCUCCCACCUCCUCCCAGGGGCCCCCCACGACUCGCUGAGGCCCCAUCAGCAACAGGAUGACGGGUUUUCUUUCCCACACAGAUCGGGGACGUCCCAGCCUCCUGAGGUGGGGCAGAGGCGGGCACCGCAGCCCAAGAGCUGGCUUUCCCCCUGCACCUCCACCCAUGCGUUGGCCUGGAGUGGCCCAGCGGAGGGUCCAGGCCUCCCGCUUGGCUGUGGGUGCUGACGGGCAAUGGGCCUGGCUAUCGGGGCUCACAGGGGAGCCGGGAGAGCCGCUAGCAGGAGAAAAUGUGAGCUCUGCAUCUGCUGGGCUGGGUUCGGGGGACGCGGGGUGGCUGGGGAGGGUCGUGCUCGUCCCUCCGGCUGCUGUCGCUGGCCCGCCGGCCAGUCCGCCCCAACGCUGGACUCCUGGGCUAUCCGUUCCCCACCCACCGUCUGAGGGUCUUUGAAAAUAGAACUCAUUCGUUUUCAUUAAAAGCAACCGAUCAAGAAGCCGAAAACACAAGAAUAAAACAAUGUAAAAGCUUGA